AUUUAAAUCCUACAUGGCGCCUCAUACGAUCAACUCAAUCUCUGAAAAUGUAUGAAGAACAUUAAAACCUGCCAUGUGAAAAACAGCGCCUAUCUUAGCUUGGUUUGAACACCAAAAGAGGUGAAGGCUUUAGUGGAGAAGAGUAAAUGUACCCGCCCCUAUGACGUCACCACCGGACCUGGUUGAAACCAAGGCUGAAACAGGUGAGACCAUAUUUGGCGCGUGACACGUGACUAUCUUUGGCGCGUCUGCUAAAUAGGUUAAUAACCCUCUGAUGCUGAGUGAGCUUCUCUUUCAUUAUGACCCGGGGCGGACUUACCAAAGACAGCACCAGGACAUUUCACGUUGACCUAAUGGUCAAUCUGGAGUGCCACCGUGAAUCUGGACCAAUCGCCCACCACCAAGCGUAAAAGGCAGUCCAUUGAGUCCUGAGUGUCUUCUGGAUGGACCUGAUUGGGGUCAGCAGAUCCUCCACUGUGAACAUCUGGAGGGCCCUGAUCCGCAUCAGCAGAUCCUCCACUGGGAACAUAUGGAGGAACCUGAUCCACACUGGCAGAUCCUCCACUAGGAACGUCUGGAGGGACCUGAUCCACACCAGCAGAUCCUCCACAAGGUACGUCAGGAGGGACCUGUUCCACACCAGCAGAUCCUCCACGAGGUACAUCUGGAGGGACCUGUUUCACACUGGCAGGUUCCACGUGGAGGACGCUUCCACAGAUGUGCCUGAGUUUUAAUUGAAGUGGGAGCUGGUUUGCCAGCUCCUCAAUAGUGCCUGCAUAGAAAUGUACAGGCACUAUGUACUCAUCCAUAUGGCUAUCCAGGAGGAUGAGCUUGUCGUGCAUCUCUGACACUCCAACGAUCUCAAGAACUGCCUCCUGGAUAUCCCUAUCAAUAAGCUGAAAAACAAAAAAAAUUUAGAAAAGGUGACUGAGCUCAAUGAUGUCCCCGACAUAGAGCUCGUUAAGUGCUUCUUCCCGCCACAGUGAGACAUCGUGUACUACGGAGCCACAUUUCAUCCGCAGGUCCAGGAUCGGUAUGUGAGUGCGAGUCAUUCUAGGCACUUCAACCUGGAAAAUGACAAAAAGGUCGUGAAGGAGGACAGAGGGCCUCCCUUGCAGCUCUUUUAGCCUCCUCACUUAUGGCUAGCGGAGCGGUCCUAAAUUUGAUGGUGCCUUUAUUUACAAAUA